rnacentral:rRNA from 1 species
CAAACAACUCUCGACAACGGAUAUCUCGGCUCUCGCAUCGAUGAAGAACGUAGCAAAAUGCGAUAUCGGUGUGAAUUGCAGAAUCCUGUGAACUAUCGAGUCUUUGAACGCAAGUUGCGCCCAAAGCCAUCAGGCCGAGGGCAUGUCUGCCUAGGCAUCAUGC